rnacentral:rRNA from 1 species
GAGUCUGCGUCCCAUUAGCUUGUUGGCGGGGUAACGGCCCACCAAGGCAACGAUGGGUAGCCGAUUUGAGAGGAUGAUCGGCCACACUGGAACUGAAACACGGUCCAGACUCCUACGGGAGGCAGCAGUGGGGAAUAUUGCGCAAUGGGCGAAAGCCUGACGCAGCGACACCGCGUGAGGGAUGAAGGUUUUCGGAUCGUAAACCUCUGUCAGAAGGGAAGAAACUACGUUGUGCUAAUCAGCAGCGUACUGACGGUACCUUCAAAGGAAGCACCGGCUAACUCCGUGCCAGCAGCCGCGGUAAUACGGAGGGUGCAAGCGUUAAUCGGAAUUACUGGGCGUAAAGCGCACGUAGGCUGUAGUGUAAGUCAGGGGUGAAAUCCCACGGCUCAACCGUGGAACUGCCUUUGAUACUGCACAACUUGAAUCCGGGAGAGGGUGGCGGAAUUCCAGGUGUAGGAGUGAAAUCCGUAGAUAUCUGGAGGAACAUCAGUGGCGAAGGCGGCCACCUGGACCGGUAUUGACGCUGA